AAUCUUCCACAAUGGGCGCAAGCCUGAUGGAGCAACGCCGCGUGUGUGAUGAAGGGUUUCGGCUCGUAAAACACUGUUGUAAGAGAAGAAUGACAUUGAGAGUAGGGACUGUUCAAUGUGUGACGGUAUCUUACCAGAAAGGAACGGCUAAAUACGUGCCAGCAGCCGCGGUAAUACG
rnacentral:rRNA from 1 species